AUCUGUAUCCUCAUACAUUUUAAUGUGUUUCUUCCACCUCACUUUUGGUCAUUGAAACAGAGAUGCUUUCCAUUGGUUUUCUCAAUCAAAAUUUUGUUUUCAUGUCUUGUCUCUCUUAUAUGAAUUUCAUAUCCAGCUCAUUAUAACCUUUAUCUGGCUACCCAACAGUACUAGAGGACUUGUCAAUAAAACAAAGUUCUUUGUUAUGUAAUAGCCAUUAUUCUUCACUGCAUCCCUUAACACAGGAAACAACAUCAUGGAGUAAGCACAAUAGACCACUGUAGGUUGCAGUGCAAGGGCCAAGAAGGCCCACCCGUUAUACAUUCAUUCAACAUCUUGGAGUCCAAAAUCAGUAACAUGGGAGCAGAUGAAAGAGCAGGACUUGGUUAAUGUGAACAGGGGUUAUAAAAAUUUAUUCUACAGUAUGAAAAAUGUCUCAUUCUUCAUGAGGAGUAUGCAUGUUGUUUGGUGGACAAAGUUUACAACAGUAACCCCUGAAUGGAAGAAGAACUAAAGGAAAAUAUUCAAAUGAAAAUUGCAAAUAUUCCUGCAGAACUGCAUCAAAGAGUAAAUUAAAACGUCUUCUGCCUGUGCAAGGAAUGCCAACACCUCCUGUGAUCUGUGAAUUGUAACUACUUCAUUCCGAACAUCAUCAGCCAACAGGCAUAUUGAUUCAUCAGAAAAUUUUGUAUAUGCAUCAUAUCCAGCAGUGCACCAGUCACCGUGAAGAGCAGCUCCAUGAACCGAUCAGCAAAAGUUAUGGUUGUCUUACCAAGAGCACCAAGGCGAUAAUUGCAUGUGACCAUCACAACAUCAUGAUCUAGCAAGUAAUCAGGCCCAUACA